UGGCUACCUGUCAUUCAUUAUCACUAUUGAAGUGGACUGGCUACCUGUCAUUCAUUAUCACUAUUGAAGUGGACUGGCUACCUGUCAUUCAUUAUCACUACUGAAGUGGACUGGCUACCUGUCAUUCAUUAUCACUACUGAAGUGGACUGGCUACCUGUCAUUCAUUAUCACUAUUGAAGUGGACUGGCUACCUGUCAUUCAUUAUCACUAUUGAAGUGGACUGGCUACCUGUCAUUCAUUAUCACUAUUGAAGUGGACUGGCUACCUGUCAUUCAUUAUCACUACUGAAGUGGACUGGCUACCUGUCAUUCAUUAUCACUACUGAAGCGGACUGGCUACCUGUCAUUCAUUAUCACUAUUGAAGUGGACUGGCUACCUGUCAUUCAUUAUCACUAUUGAAGUGGACUGGCUACCUGUCAUUCAUUAUCACUAUUGAAGUGGACUUUUGUGGUUUGUUUACUUGUUGAUGUAUUUCUAUCAUUUUUAUAUUUAUGAAGCGAAAUGUUGCUGCUAGGUCAGUGUGGUUCACUCUUUCACUUAGCAUGGCAGUUUUUCUACUAUCCGUUUACACAGACGCUGCCCUCUUCUUCCUGCUCCUCUUCCUCAUGUUCCUCUUCAUCCCCAUUGUCAUCACUUUCCCCUUUCAUACUUCUCCUUAAAUAGCCUGAAAUCCAACUAUCGAUCUGUUGUAACAAAAGUGAUUUGGAACAAUGUUCAUUUGGGAGUCCAGGCUUCUCUUCAACCCCGUCUUUUCCAGGUCAACAUCUGUACUGUACCUCCUCUCUUCAACCCCGUCUUUUCCAGGUCAACAUCUGUACUGUACCUCCUCUCUUCAACCCCGUCUUUUCCAGGUCAACAUCUGUACUGUACCUCCUCUCUUCAACCCCGUCUUUUUCAGGUCAACAUCUGUACUGUACCUCCUCUCUUCCAUAUUCACCACUCUAUCUAGAUCCCUCGUUCAUUCUCUCUUUCACCUUUACUCCCUCCAUUCUCUCUCCAGUCUAGUUAGAACACUGGAACAAGAGUGUAUCGUGUCUUAAAGGUAUACAGGUUUCUUGUUGUGUUUGAUUAUGUUAUACUGUAUGUUAUAUCAGUCAUGCAAACAAGAGCAUCAAACAUCCUGAAACUGUCUGUUAAGAGCAAGAGUAGCAAACAUCUAACUUUAGCUGGAUUGUAGCAUAAAGAGAGAGAUGAAGUGACAUUCUAUAACAGACGCAUUGUUAACACACAGGCUGUACAGUCAGUGAUCAACAAUUGACUCAACUUGAGAGAGUGACUGACGUGUGUGUGUGUGUGUGUGUGUGUGUGUGUGUGUGUGUGUGUGUGUGUGUGCGUGUGUGUGUGUGUGUGUGUGUGUGUGUGUGUGUGUGUGUGUGUGUGUGUGUGUGAAACAACAUCCUAACUGUUAAUGUGGUGAUCCAAACUUUUUUUUUUAGGGUUCCCUGGCUGUCAUAUACUCCUACCAGAACUAUGCAGUCAUCAUAACUUAGUGGUUCUCAGGCAUUCUGAGGACUCGCUGAGAACCCCUUACAAAGCAGUCUCCAUGAAGACGGUGCUCAUCAUAAUGUUGUAUUCAUAUUAGGAUGUAUCCUCUAUUUUGUAUAGAUUUGUCAGAAAAAUAAAUGCCUAUUGCUAUACCAAGGUUGACAA
rnacentral:lncRNA from 1 species